CAGUAGCCGCGGUAAUACGGAGGGAGCUAGCGUUAUUCGGAAUUACUGGGCGUAAAGCGCACGUAGGCGGCUUUGUAAGUUAGAGGUGAAAGCCUGGAGCUCAACUCCAGAAUUGCCUUUAAGACUGCAUCGCUUGAAUCCAGGAGAGGUGAGUGGAAUUCCGAGUGUAGAGGUGAAAUUCGUAGAUAUUCGGAAGAACACCAGUGGCGAAGGCGGCUCACUGGACUGGUAUUGACGCUGAGGUGCGAAAGCGUGGGGAGCAAACAGGAUUAGAUACCCCUGUAGUCCCUGUCUCUUAUAC
rnacentral:rRNA from 1 species